GACUGCCUCGCACUCCGGCGGGCCUGCCUGCCCGUCCGCCGCCGCCAAGUCUCUCCGCAGACCUCUCCUCCGCGGCACGAGCUUCCGCAACUCCUAGCGCCCGCGGCCACUGCGGGGAGCCCCGGUGCUGAGCAGCAGCGCAUGCGCAGGGCGCCAACCGCCGCUCCUGUCCCGUAACGGGCGCGGCGCGCGUGCGUGAAGUGCUUGUUAGAGGCCUGCCGGCAGCACUAGCGCAUGUGCACGAGCGAGGACCGCACCCUCCCCGCGCAGGCGCACCGACUUCCCGCCGCUGGUUGCCACAGUGAUGCUCCCGCCCUGCGCGGUCCCUGUUGGCAUUGCCUGUCGGCAGGGCCGGGCGGAUGAGCUCGUCCUGCUGGGGAGGAAACGGGCACCCCCGCCCUCAGAAGAGCCGGACCCUCCCUCUGGGCAGGCAGCGGCACUGGGCGGUGCCUCCUGAGGCGGGCGCUGCCUGUGGCGGGCGGUUUGGCGGCCACCGGGGGCGGCCGUGCUCCAGGGUAGCGGCGGCGGGCCCGGCCUCUUCCGCCCGUCAGGGCCCCGGCCGAGCCCGUGGGUCAGGAAGUGCUGAGGCGUUCGAUGAAGCCCGUGGCUCUGCUGCUUCCGGGUCUGGGAAAACUGGCUCCGAAAGAGGAAAGCACACCAGAGCACUUCUUGUUAACAUGUUAAAGAAGUCUGAGCUCUGGAACUCCUCCAAGAACCCAAAUCAGUCCUGGAGAACACUUGUUAACAGGCCGAGAGGCAGAGGGAAGAGGUCCAGCAGCUCACACAACACACCGAGGCUGACGUUCCUGUACUAAUGCAAAUCAUCCCCAGGAGAUGCAAUGGACCUACCUCAGUAUGAGAACCAAAAACUGACAUGAAGAAAUCCUUUGGUUUGUGUCUUUUAACACUUCUGCUAGUUUAUUCAAGUUCUGUCUGAAAUUGCUACACUUACGGGAAUUAGAAGCCCUCUGAAGAAAACCCUGCAAGAACUUGCAAGCGCACAUUGCACAAAUGUACUGAAAAAUACUCCAGUCAGAUGUACCGAGGCACCAUGUCAAAUCCACAAGAACAACUAUGCCAUGUGGCAGUUAUUCAGAGCAGCCCCACGGAGAAGGACUUGGGGAUGUAGAUUGAUGAGAGAAGCUCAACAUGAGCUGGCAGCGUGCACUUGUAGCCCAGAAAGCUGACAGUAUACUGGGCUGCAUCAAAAGAAGUAUGGCCAGCAGGCCAAGGAGGGGGAUUUUCCCCCUCCACUCUCAUGAGACUAUACCUGGAGUUCUGUGUACAGCUCUGGGGCACCCAACACGACAGUGAUGUGGACCUGUUGGAGUGAGUCCAGAGGAGGCCACGGAGAUGCUCAGAGGGCUGGAGCAGCUCUGCUUUGGAGACAGGCUGAGAGAGCUGGGCUUGUUCAGCCUGGAGAAGAGAAGGAUCUGUGAAGACUUUAGAGCAGCUUCCAGUGCCUAAAGAGGCAACAAGAAAGCUGGAGAGAGGUUCUUGACAAGGGCAUAUACUGACAGGACAAGGGGGAAUGGCUUUAAACAGAGGGGCGAUUUAGAUGCGAUAUAAGGAAGAAGUUCUUUAUUGUG